UACGAAGGGUGCAAGCGUUAAUCGGAAUUACUGGGCGUAAAGCGUGCGUAGGCGGUCCGCGAAGUCUGAUGUGAAAGCCCCGGGCUCAACCUGGGAACUGCAUUGGAAACUAACGGGCUCGAGUGUGGCAGAGGGGGGUGGGAAUUCCACGUGUAGCAGUGAAAUGCGUAGAGAUGUGGAGGAACACCGAUGGCGAAGGCAGCCCCCCUGGGCUAACACUGACGCUCAGGCACGAAAGCGUGGGGAGCAAACAGG
rnacentral:rRNA from 1 species